GAUGAAGAACGUAGCGAAAUGCGAUAAGUAAUGCGAAUUGCAGAAUUUCCGUGAGUCAUCGAAUCUUUGAACGCACAUUGCGCCCACUGGUAUUCCGGUGGGCAUGCCUGUUCGAGCGUCAUUAUCCUCCCUCAAACCCCGGGUUUGGUGUUGGACCCAAGUUGUGUGAACAACUGGUCUCAAAGACAAUGACGGCGUCCGUGGGACCCUCGGUGCAACGAGCUUUUAGGAGCACGCAUCGAGUUGCAAGGACCUUCCGGGCCGGUCUCCUUUACCAUUUUACAAGGUUGACCUCGGAUCAGGUAGGAAUACCCACUGAACUUAAGCAUAUCAAUAAGCGGAGGA
rnacentral:misc_RNA from 1 species